rnacentral:lncRNA from 1 species
CUUCCAAGGAGGAGUACAUGAAAAAUGUAAAAUGGCAAAGUGUUACUCCAAUACUGUUCCUUCCUGGAAAAGAAAAGUUUUCUCAUGAAAACAAGAAAAGCCAAAUUCGCAAUGAGACCAAGGCAGGAAAAUAUAUCAAGAAAGAACAAAUUUAAGAAAGCGUGAGUUGCUCUUGAGGAGGCCAGGAUUUCAAUGUGGACUUCAGGAGACAUUUACUUGGAGGCAUCUUAAUUCUUGAAGCAGAAAGGCCCAACUUUGCCCUCCAUACUGAAACAGAAGGUAAAUUGUGACUGUUAAGUCAAACCUAACUUAGGAUAUCCAUCCUCGAAAAAUUUCUUUUGCAUCUAAAGCUAUGUAGACAGUUAACUUCUAUUUCUUAAACAUUUGUUUAUUGAAUUUGAAUUUCAAAUGUAGAAACAAUCUGUGAAAGUAACAGGAACUCUCAUUCAUUGCUGGGAGGAAUGCAAACUAGUACAGCCACUUUGGAAGACAGUUUGGCAGUUUCUUACAAAACUAAAUGCUCUUACCAUACGAUCCAGCAAUCACACUCCUAGGUAUUUUUCCAACUGAGUUGAAAACAUACGUCCACAUAAAAACCUGCCCAUGAAUGUUUAUAUCAAAUCAUAAUUGCCAAAACCUGAAAGCAACCAAGAUGUCCUUCAAUAGGUGAAUGGAGAAACAAACUGUGGUACAUCCUGACAAUGUAACAUUCAGCUAUAAAAAGAAAUGAGCUAUCAAGCCACAAAAAGACAUGCAGGAAACUUAAAUGCAUAUUGCAAAAUAAAAGCAGUCAGUCUAUAAAGGCUACAUCCUGUGCGAUGCCAAGUAUAUGACACUCUAAAAAAGGUAAAACUAUGGAGAUAGUAAAACGAUUAGUGGUUGCCAGGGGCUCGGGAGAGGGACGUAUGAAUAGGUGGAGCACAGAAGAUUCCUAAGGCAGUGAAACUAUUCUGUAUGACACUGUAAUAAUAGACACAUAUCAUUAUACAUUUGUUAAAAACCACAGAAUGUACAACACAAAAAGUGAGCCCUAAUGGAAACUACAGACUUUAGUUAAUAAUAGUGAGUCAAUAUUGGUUUAUCGAUUGUACAAAGGUACCACACCAAUGCAAGAUGUUAGCAACAAGGAAUCUUUGUGUGGUCAAAAGAAGACAUAUGGGAACUCUCUGUACUGUCUGCCCAAUUUUUCUAUAAACCUGAAACUGCUAUAAAAAUAUAAAGUAUAAUAAUAUUUUUAAGUAGCCAUGAAAACAUUCCAAGACAGUUUGCCGUUUUCCUUGUUCAAAG